AUUGAACGCUGGCGGCAUGCCUUACACAUGCAAGUCGAACGGUAACAGGUUAAGCUGACGAGUGGCGAACGGGUGAGUAAUAUAUCGGAACGUGCCCAGUCGUGGGGGAUAACUGCUCGAAAGAGCAGCUAAUACCGCAUACGACCUGAGGGUGAAAGCGGGGGAUCGCAAGACCUCGCGCGAUUGGAGCGGCCGAUAUCAGAUUAGGUAGUUGGUGGGGUAAAAGCCUACCAAGCCAACGAUCUGUAGCUGGUCUGAGAGGACGACCAGCCACACUGGGACUGAGACACGGCCCAGACUCCUACGGGAGGCAGCAGUGGGGGAAUUUUGGACAAUGGGCGCAAGCCUGAUCCAGCCAUGCCGCGUGCGGGAA
rnacentral:rRNA from 1 species